AUUGAACGCUGGCGGCAGGCCUAACACAUGCAAGUCGAACGGUAACAGGAAGAAGCUUGCUUCUUUGCUGACGAGUGGCGGACGGGUGAGUAAUGUCUGGGAAACUGCCUGAUGGAGGGGGAUAACUACUGGAAACGGUAGCUAAUACCGCAUAACGUCGCAAGACCAAAGAGGGGGACCUCCGGGCCUCUUGCCAUCGGAUGUGCCCAGAUGGGAUUAGCUAGUAGGUGGGGUAACGGCUCACCUAGGCGACGAUCCCUAGCUGGUCUGAGAGGAUGACCAGCCACACUGGAACUGAGACACGGUCCAGACUCCUAAGGGAGGCAGCAGUGGGGAAUAUUGCACAAUGGGCGGAAGCCUGAUGGAGCCAUGCCGCGUGUAUGAAGAAGGCCUUCGGGUUGGAAAAUUCUUUCAGCGGGGAGGAAGGGAGUAAAGUUAAAACCUUUGCUCAUUGACGUUACCCGCAGAAGAAGCACCGGCUAACUCCGUG
rnacentral:rRNA from 1 species